rnacentral:rRNA from 1 species
AUUGAACGCUGGCGGCAUGCCUUACACAUGCAAGUCGAACGGCAGCACGGGUGCUUUCACCUGGUGGCGAGUGGCGAACGGGUGAGUAAUACAUCGGAACAUGUCCUGUAGUGGGGGAUAGCCCGGCGAAAGCCGGAUUAAUACCGCAUACGAUCUACGGAUGAAAGCGGGGGACCUUCGGGCCUCGCGCUAUAGGGUUGGCCUAUGGCUGUUUAGCGAGUUGGUGGGGUAAAGGCCUACCAAGGCGACGAUCAGUAGCUGGUCGGAGAGGACGACCAGCAACACGGGAAGUGAGAAACGGCCCAGACUCCUACGGGAGGAAGCAGUGGGGAAUUUUGGACAAGGGGCGAAAGCCGGAUCCAGCAAUGCCGCGUGUGUGAAGAAGGCGUUAGGGUUGUAAAGCACUGUUGUCCGGAAAGAAAUACAUGGCCCUAAUACGGUCGGGGGAUGACGGUACCGGAAGAAUAAGCACCGGCUAACUACGUG